UAAAGUGCGCACAGGGGAGGGUUCUGAAGAUUCAGGUCCCUCUGGACAAAAUGUGCAAAUGUAGAGUCGGGUCAAAGACCAGAAACUGAAGCCAUUGGGCAAAACUGGGCAAGAAGAUGGGACCAACCUUGCACAUGCUGCUAGAACAUCCCAACUACAACCACUUUAGAAUCACCAAUUACCCUACAGAGAUCUCAUCUGUAUGUUUACUAGAACCGAGAUAUUAAUUUGGUCUCUUAUUUAUUUGUUUUCUGUGUCUCAUACACAAUCAAUGCACAUAAAGAAAACUGUAAUCUAAUGGGCUACUCAAUAAGUUCAAAUCUAAAAAUACAAACACGAUUAAGGUCACAAACAGAUUAAGUUCAAACAACAGCAUGUUUAUUGUACAUAAAUAGCCCGUGUCACACAAAAACAUCAGCAUGCCUACAAAAAGCAGCGGUAGAUAUUAACCCAGUUAUUUCAGAGAGAUGCCUCUCAUUCAGGCUCAUGUGCCGCACAUUCCAACAACAAAUACAGCAGCGAGAUGAUCCGUUCUCACAGCUUUGAGAUCAGUGCCAUGUUUACUUGUACAACAUAUUAAACUAGUGCAAAGAUAUAUACAGUACAGCUGUGCUUUAUAUCUGCA